UACGUAGGGUGCAAGCGUUUGUCCGGAAUUAUUGGGCGUAAAGAGCUCGUAGGCGGUCUGUCGCGUCUGCUGUGAAAACCUAGGGCUUAACUCUGGGCGUGCAGUGGGUACGGGCAGGCUAGAGUGCGGUAGGGGAGACUGGAAUUCCUGGUGUAGCGGUGAAAUGCGCAGAUAUCAGGAGGAACACCGGUGGCGAAGGCGGGUCUCUGGGCCGUAACUGACGCUGAGGAGCGAAAGCGUGGGGAGCAAACAGG
rnacentral:rRNA from 1 species